AUUUUCUUGUCGGAGUGCCCAUUUGGGCUGAGACCGUUAAUUCGGGAUCCGCGGAACCUGAUCAGGUUAGUACCUGCGAAGGGAACAAGAGUAAAUAUCAC
rfam:Pantoea sp. At-9b, complete genome.